AGAGUUUGAUCCUGGCUCAGGAUGAACGCCGGCGGUGUGCCUAAUACAUGCAAGUCGUACGCACUGGCCCAACUGAUUGAUGGUGCUUGCACCUGAUUGACGUUGGAUCACCAGUGAGUGGCGGACGGGUGAGUAACACGUAGGUAACCUGCCCCGGAGCGGGGGAUAACAUUUGGAAACAGAUGCUAAUACCGCAUAACAACAAAAGCCACAUGGCUUUUGUUUGAAAGAUGGCUUUGGCUAUCACUCUGGGAUGGACCUGCGGUGCAUUAGCUAGUUGGUAAGGUAACGGCUUACCAAGGCGAUGAUGCAUAGCCGAGUUGAGAGACUGAUCGGCCACAAUGGAACUGAGACACGGUCCAUACUCCUACGGGAGGCAGCAGUAGGGAAUCUUCCACAAUGGGCGCAAGCCUGAUGGAGCAACACCGCGUGAGUGAAGAAGGGUUUCGGCUCGUAAAGCUCUGUUGUUGGAGAAGAACGUGCGUGAGAGUAACUGUUCACGCAGUGACGGUAUCCAACCAGAAAGUCACGGCUAACUACGCGCCAGCAGCCGCGGUAAUACGUAGGUGGCAAGCGUUAUCCGGAUUUAUUGGGCGUAAAGCGAGCGCAGGCGGUUGCUUAGGUCUGACGUGAAAGCCUUCGGCUUAACCGAAGAAGUGCAUCGGAAACCGGGCGACUUGAGUGCAGAAGAGGACAGUGGAACUCCAUGUGUAGCGGUGGAAUGCGUAGAUAUAUGGAAGAACACCAGUGGCGAAGGCGGCUGUCUGGUCUGCAACUGACGCUGAGGCUCGAAAGCAUGGGUAGCGAACAGGAUUAGAUACCCUGGUAGUCCAUGCCGUAAACGAUGAGUGCUAGGUGUUGGAGGGUUUCCGCCCUUCAGUGCCGGAGCUAACGCAUUAAGCACUCCGCCUGGGGAGUACGACCGCAAGGUUGAAACUCAAAGGAAUUGACGGGGGCCCGCACAAGCGGUGGAGCAUGUGGUUUAAUUCGAAGCAACGCGAAGAACCUUACCAGGUCUUGACAUCCAGUGCAAACCUAAGAGAUUAGGUGUUCCCUUCGGGGACGCUGAGACAGGUGGUGCAUGGCUGUCGUCAGCUCGUGUCGUGAGAUGUUGGGUUAAGUCCCGCAACGAGCGCAACCCUUGUCAUUAGUUGCCAUCAUUAAGUUGGGCACUCUAAUGAGACUGCCGGUGACAAACCGGAGGAAGGUGGGGAUGACGUCAAGUCAUCAUGCCCCUUAUGACCUGGGCUACACACGUGCUACAAUGGACGGUACAACGAGAAGCGAACCUGCGAAGGCAAGCGGAUCUCUUAAAGCUGUUCUCAGUUCGGACUGUAGGCUGCAACUCGCCUACACGAAGCUGGAAUCGCUAGUAAUCGCGAAUCAGAAUGUCGCGGUGAAUACGUUCCCGGGUCUUGCACACACCGCGCGUCA
rnacentral:rRNA from 1 species